UACGUAGGGGGCGAGCGUUACCCGGAUUUACUGGGCGUAAAGGGGGCGUAGGCGGCCGUGAAAGUCCGGUGUGAAAACUCACGGCUCAACCGUGGGACUGCGCUGGAAACUACAUGGCUUGAGGACGGUAGAGGGAGACGGAACUGCUGGUGUAGGGGUGAAAUCCGUAGAUAUCAGCAGGAACGCCGGUGGAGAAGUCGGUCUGCUGGGCCGUAACCGACGCUGAGGCACGAAAGCUAGGGGAGCGAACCGG
rnacentral:rRNA from 1 species